GAAGGUGGCAAGCGUUGCUCGGAAUUACUGGGCUUAAAGGGUGUGUAGGCGGUUGGGUAAGCGUCUUGUGAAAUCCCUCGGCUUAACCGAGGAACUGCUUGGCGAACUGUCCGACUUGAGGCGCGUAGGGGCCAAUGGAACUCUGGGUGGAGCGGUGAAAUGCGUAGAUAUCCAGGGGAACGCCAGUGGCGAAAGCGAUUGGCUGGGCGCGUCCUGACGCUGAGGCACGAAAGCGUGGGGAGCGAACGGGAUUAGAUACCCCGGGUAGUCCACGCCGUAAACGAUGUGCACUAGGUUCGAGGACUUCUGACAGUUUUCGGGCCGAAGGGAAACUGUUAAGUGCACCGCCUGGGGAGUACGGCCGCAAGGCUA
rnacentral:rRNA from 1 species